rnacentral:rRNA from 1 species
GGCACCUCGAUGUCGGCUCGUCCUAUCCUGGGGCUGAAGAAGGUCCCAAGGGUUUGGCUGUUCGCCAAUUAAAAGGGCACGCGAGCUGGGUUCAGAACGUCGUGAGACAGUUCGGUCUCCUAUCUACCAUGGGCGUUGAAAUUUGAGAAGGACAUUUCCUAGUACGAGAGGACCGGAAAUGACGAAUCUCUCGUGUACCUGCUGUCCUACCAAGGGCACCGCAGGGUAGCGAUAUUCGGUUAGGAUAAACGCUGAAAGCAUAUAAGCGUGAAGCCGUCUUCAAGAUUAGAUUUCCUAGACCACUCCGAGACGAGGAGUUUGAUAGGUGGUAGGUAUAAGUACAGCAAUGUAUUAAGCCAAGCCAUACUAAUGGUCAUUGUGUUUAAUCAC